rnacentral:misc_RNA from 1 species
GCUCCGUAGGUGAACCUGCGGAGGGAUCAUUACAGAGUUCUCGCCCUCGCGGGUAGAUCUCCCACCCACUGUUAUCGUUACUGUGUUGCUUUGGCGGGCCGCCGGGCCCCGCUCGGCCGCCGGCUCCGGCUGGCGCGCGCCCGCCAGAGGCCCAGCAAACUCUGAAUGUUAGUGUCGUCUGAGUACUAUAUAAUAGUUUAAACUUUCAACGACGGAUCUCUUGGUUCUG